rnacentral:rRNA from 1 species
UAGGGAAUCUUCCGCAAUGGACGCAAGUCUGACGGAGCAACGCCGCGUGAGUGAAGAAGGAUUUCGGUUCGUAAAACUCUGUUGUUAGAGAAGAACAGCGCAUAGAGUAACUGUUAUGCGUGUGACGGUAUCUAACCAGAAAGCCACGGCUAACUACGUGCCAGCAGCCGCGGUAAUACGUAGGUGGCAAGCGUUGUCCGGAUUUAUUUGGCGUAAAGCGAGCGCAGGCGGUCAAUUAAGUCUGAUGUGAAAGCCCCCGGCGCAACCGGGGGGGGUCAUUGGAAACUGGUGGACUUGAGUGCAGAAGGGGGGGGUGGAAUUCCAUGUGGAGGGGUGAAAUGCGUAGAUAUAAGGAGGAACGCCAGUGGCGAAGGCGACUCUCUGGUCUGUAACUAACGCUGAGGUUCAAAAGCGUGGGUAGCAAACAGG